CCAGCAUUGGCAGUUAGCAGCUCCUGAAAAGGGAGGAGGCCCGGUGAAUGAAUCAAGAAAUAAAAAAGGGAAGAGACAUGACUGGUCCCAGACUCAAUAAACAGAGGAACCAGGAAAGUACCAUGGGUAAGAAUUUCAAGCUGUCAGCUGAUGGCGUCAGAGAACUCCGGGUGCUCAUUGUGGUGACCCUUCCGUGAAGAAAGCCAUCCUCUUGGAAGGGUCAAGGACCGGCAUGUCCACGUCAACCCUCGUGCUCUGUGUUUAUAUCCAGCCAACAGGACACGUUUGUGCGCACGCAUGCCAAGAACUUCCGGUGUGAACCUUCUGCGGGCUAGGCAGAGAGCAUGCCCAGUGGGGUGAGACAAGCUCUCUUGUAGUUUAAAGAGUGCUUGGCUUGCAGCUUCGUUUCCUUUCAGGGGAAGGGGCUGCUUGUUUUUCUCUUGGGGAAACAUCCUAUUUGGAUGUCUCAAAGGAAAAAGAAAAAGUCAGAAAGCUUCGUUUCCGAGUUACUUCCUCUUUAAGACCAGAACAUCUGCUGACCUUUUCCAGAUUCCCUGCCCAGAACUGCUAAAGGACCUUGAGCCUUUCAAGCCAUGGGCUCGACAUCAAAAUAGCACUUUAGACGUUUCUUCUUUCCUUUAGUCCUUGCCACUUCAUGAUGAUUGACUGCGUUCAUCUCUCCUUUUCCAGCUGAGAAUAAAAUUACUAGCCAUGUUGGAAUUAGCCAUUUUUAACCCGAGUUGGCUUUUGGAUGCUCACCAUUACACCACCAGAUGCCUUUGCCUGCCUUUAGAACAUGUUACCUCGAGUACUAACUGUAUCCCCAGACCAAACCAGACCUGCCUGAAUCCUAUACUCAGAUGUCAGAAUUGAGAAAGAGGAAGAAAGAAAUUCUAAAUUGAUUGAUAGUUGUAUGGAGUAGGUAGAGAGCGAGAGAGAGAGAGAGAGAGAGAGAGAGAGAGAGAGAGAGAGAGAGAGAGAAAGAGAGAGAGA
rnacentral:lncRNA from 1 species